AAUAAGUGGGGAUAACGCACCGAAGGUGUGCUAAUACCGCAUACGCCCUGAGGGGAAAGCGGGGGAUCGUAAGACCUCGCGUUAAUGGAGCGGCCGAUGCCGGAUUAGCUAGUUGGUGGGGUAAAGGCUCACCAAGCCAACGAUCUGUAGCUGGUCUGAGAGGACGACCAGCCACACUGGAACUGAGACACGGUCCAGACUCCUACGGGAGGCAGCAGUGGGGAAUUUUUGGACAAUGGGCGCAAGCCUGAUCCAGCCAUUCCGCGUGCAGGAUGAAGGCCUUCGGGUUGUAAACUGCUUUUGUACGGAACGAAAAAGCUCUCUCUAAUACAGGGGGUGAAUGACGGUACCGUAAGAAUAAGCACCGGCUAACUACGUG
rnacentral:rRNA from 1 species